UACGAACUGUGCAAACGUUAUUCGGAAUUACUGGGCGUAAAGUGUGCGCAGGUGGCUGAGCAAGUCGAGUGUGAAAUCCCCGGGCUUAACUUGGGAAUUGCGCUCGAAACUACUUGGCUCGAGUGUGGCAGAGGAAGGUGGAAUUCCAGGUGUAGCGGUGAAAUGCGUAGAGAUCUGGAGGAACACCGAUGGCGAAGGCAGCCUUCUGGGCCAACACUGACGCUCAUGCACGAAAGCGUGGGGAGCAAACAGG
rnacentral:rRNA from 1 species